rnacentral:rRNA from 1 species
AGAGUUUGAUUCUGGCUCAGGAUGAACGCUGGCGGCGUGCUUAACACAUGCAAGUCGAACGGGAAGCGGUGUGUAUUUGCUUAGGUGGAUACAUGCCGUGGAGAGUGGCGAACGGGUGCGUAACACGUAGGUAACCUGCCCUGAAAAGGGGGAUAACCACGGGAAACUGUGGCUAAUACCGCAUAAUCUCGCCGAGACGGGAGUUCGGUGAGGAAAGCUGAGGCGAUUUGGGAGGGGCCUGCGGUCGAUUAGCUGGUUGGUGGGGUAAAGGCCUACCAAGGCGAUGAUCGAUAGCUGUUCUGAGAGGAAGGCCAGCCACACGGGAACUGAGACACGGUUCCGACUCCUACGGGGGGCAGCAGUGAGGAAUAUUGCGCAAUGGGGGAAACCCUGACGCAGCAACGCCGCGUGGAGGACGAAGGUUUUCGGAUUGUAAACUCCUUAACUGGGGGAAGAGGAAGGACGUACCCCCA